CAGCCGCCGCGGUAAUACAGAGGGUGCAAGCGUUAAUCGGAAUUACUGGGCGUAAAGCGCGCGUAGGUGGUUUGUUAAGUUGGAUGUGAAAUCCCCGGGCUCAACCUGGGAACUGCAUCCAAAACUGGCAAGCUAGAGUAUGGUAGAGGGUGGUGGAAUUUCCUGUGUAGCGGUGAAAUGCGUAGAUAUAGGAAGGAACACCAGUGGCGAAGGCGACCACCUGGACUGAUACUGACACUGAGGUGCGAAAGCGUGGGGAGCAAACAGGAUUAGAUACCCCCGUAGUCCCUGUCUCUUAUAU
rnacentral:rRNA from 1 species